AAGGAGUCAGUCCAAUCUGAAAUGCGGCUCCACGGAAGCAGACAGCUACCUAAUAAGUCAUAUUUUUACCUAAAUUAGCAUAACUUGAACUAUCCUCUUGGAAACAACUACAGAACUGUAAGAAGUGAAUACUCUUACCUCCUCCUGGAGAUGAAUGCAACAUAUUACGGGGCACAGGAGGAAAUAGGUUGAAUAUUCCUAGACUUCUCCCAGCUGACGGUCUGUCUGCAAUCACCUGAAUAUCCAGACCCAUAAUUCCUUAGUGAGUAGUGAAUCUGAUCCCAUGUUCAACAGGACCUACUAAUAAAAAUAUGCA
rnacentral:lncRNA from 1 species